UUCUCUUUGCUUGUGUUUAGCUGGUGAAUGUGCCCUGGCUGCCAUCGACCCUCAAAAUGACGAAAUUACAGUUUCUAAAUGUCUUUUUGACAGAAAGGUUGAUGUUAGCUGCCCAAGAGAUAUAUAAACAAGUGGAAGAGACAAUAUUGGAAUACCAGGAGGAAAUAUUCCAGGGAAAGCGAGAGAAUGAUCAACUGAGACGCAAGCUUCACGAAAAUGGGAUUCCAUGGUCAGACCGAGAGCCCUUUUCUCCUGUAGAAUCCGAGGAGGAGGAGGAGGAGGAGGAGGGAGACAUUGGGCAGAAGCAGGAUCCAGAGCCCAGACAGACUUUGGAGAAACAGGAGGGAAGGGCCAGAAGGGAGGAAAAGCUGUUUAGGGGACUGGACUCUCUGUCUAGAUUCACUCCUUCCAAUGGAAACGAUGACUAUGAUCAGUACCCACCUCAACCCACCUCACAUCAGUUCCAAAAACAAACUCACACUGGGAAGAGAAGAGAGGGAGGCUCUCUAUCAAGCUCAACAACCUCCAAACCGAUAAAAACAGAGACUGAUAGAUUGGGCGUCUGUCCAUUGGAUGAUCCAUCAAGUGACCCUAAUACACUCUCUUCAGUGAACCUUGACCUUUCGGCAGCACAGAGUGAGAACAGUGACUAUGAGAACACGGAUGACAUCAGGUGGUGUGGAAGGAAGGCAAGGAGGAGGUGGAGGGUGUGGUUCCCAGUACCUGGGUGGUGGGCAGGAAUGUCCUUUCGCCUCCAGCCAAUGGCAGGAAAGCCCUGAAAGAAAGACACAAGCCAGGAGCCAGUUGGACCUUGUUAAGGUCAAACUAUUCUCAGGGAUGCCGUUUUUCAGUCCAGAGAGGGAGCAUUCCUAAGUGAACAGGAAAUGAUAGGAAACCUUCUGAAUCCAACCAAAAGUUUUCCUCUUCCAAAUGACCAGUUCCAGGAGCAGGUCCUGGGUCUGCUGUUGGACAUCAGACUGUCAGUGAAGGAGCUAGGAGGAAGGGUGGGAGUUCUGGAACACUGGGGUUCUACUGGGGGUUCUGGACCUGGAACAGACUUCCAGUUUGAUGUGUGUAGAAUCAUCGAAGACAUGGCCAACCUGGAGAGAGUUCUAGAGCCUCCGGAGGUAGCUGCCCAGAUGAAACAGUUACUGAGCAGGAUUGGUGGGAACACGUUGAGGGACAAUGUCACCAGAGUGAUGGAGGUGGACACACAAACACUGGCUAACACUGUACUCUUGUGUAAAUCUCUCUUUCUGUUACUGCUAUUUGAUUGGCACACCUGUUUAAUUGAAAUGCAUUCCAGGUGACUACCUCAUGAAGCUGGCUGAGAGAAUGCCAAGAAUGUGCAAAGCUGUCAU